GAUGAAGAACGUAGCGAAAUGCGAUAAGUAAUGUGAAUUGCAGAAUUCAGUGAAUCAUCGAAUCUUUGAACGCACAUUGCGCCCGCCAGUAUUCUGGCGGGCAUGCCUGUUCGAGCGUCAUUUCAACCAUCAAGCCCCAGGCUUGUGUUGGAGCCCUGCGGCUGCCGCAGCCUCCCAAAACCAGUGGCGGGCUCGCUAUCACACCGAGUGCAGUAGUUUACUCUUCGCUCAGGGCGUGUGGCGGGUGCUAGCCGUAAAACCCCCAACUUCUCAAGGUUGACCUCGGAUCAGGUAGGAAUACCUGCUGAACUUAAGCAUAUCAAUAAGCGGAGGA
rnacentral:misc_RNA from 1 species